UCAAACUUGGUCAUUUAGAGGAAGUAAAAGUCGUAACAAGGUUUCCGUAGGUGAACCUGCGGAAGGAUCAUUAUUGAAUUUAAUGUAGAGUUGGUUGUAGCUGGCCUUUGAAUUAAUUUUCUGUGGCAUGUGCACACCUUCUCUUUCAUCCACACACACCUGUGAACUUGUGAGACAAGUAGUUGGGGACUUUAUUGAACCCACUUCUGUCUACUUAAUUCAUAUAAAAUCAAUUUUAUUUUAAAACGAAUGUAAUGGAUGUAACGCAUCUAAUACUAAGUUUCAACAACGGAUCUCUUGGCUCUCGCAUCGAUGAAGAACGCAGC
rnacentral:misc_RNA from 1 species